GAUGAACGCUGACAGCAUGCUUAACACAUGCAAGUCAACUGUGGCGGACGGGUGAGAAACGCGUAAAGAACUUGCCUCACAGCUAGGGACACCAUUUGGAAACGAAUGCUAAUACCUGAUACUUGGAGAGAGCUUUGCGUCGCAUUCGCUAGUUGGAGAGGUAACGGCUCACGAAGGCGAUGAUGGGUAGCCGGCCUGAGAGGGUGAUCGGCCACAAGGGGACUGGGACACGGCCCUUACGGCUACGGGAGGCAGCAGUGGGGAAUAGUGGACAAUGGACCAAAGUGUGAUCCAGCAAUUCUGGGUGCACGAUGAAGUUUUCGGAAUGUAAAUGGCUUUCAGUUGGGAAGCGUUACCAACAGAAGAAGUGACGGCUAAAUCCGUGCCAGCAGCCGCGGUAAUUC
rnacentral:rRNA from 1 species